rnacentral:rRNA from 1 species
UCCGUAGGUGGAUGAUUAAGUCAGAGGUGAAAUCCUGCAGCUCAACUGUAGAAUUGCCUUUGAUACUGGUUAUCUUGAGUCAUUAUGAAGUGGUUAGAAUGUGUAGUGUAGCGGUGAAAUGCAUAGAUAUUACACAGAAUACCGAUUGCGAAGGCAGAUCACUAAUAAUGUACUGACACUGAUGGACGAAAGCGUGGGGAGCGAACAGGAUUAGAUACCCUGGUAGUCC